ACACUUAGAAAAAAUUGCGCCCGACCCCAAAACUGAAACAGAUCAAAAACCCGACCCCAACUCUCGCUCGACUCCUUCAUUCUGAGCUCACCCCAAAACAGAUCUCCUCCCAAACUCGAUCUCCAUUCUCAACCCGACCCCAAACUUGACCUCCUCCUCCAUUCUCUAGCUCAGACCCGGACCCAGCCUCCUCCGCCUUUCUCCGCAUCCGCCUCCGCCUCCGACCUCAACCUUAGCCCCCUCCUCCUUUCUCCUUCUUCGUCUCAGAAACAAUGAACGCGAAGAACACCCCCACAGAGACCACCGGCGAGUCUCGAUUCUUGGGAACUAUCUCCGCCUCAUCGAUUCAAAACCUCCACCCCAGAUCCAUCUCAACCAAGCACGGAAAAUCCUUCUUCAGCCCCAAAAUUGCCGCAUCAAUUGCCCCAAAAUUGCUCGCCCUCGAAAGCGUUUCGCCGAGCUCGUUAAAGGACAAGGUUUAUAGGGUCUUCUGCAGGGAAAAGCGUAAGCUCGCCGGUAGAAAGGAUGGAACCAUGUCUAAAUGUGAAUCCCAACUCAGUUGCUUACAUUUCUGACAGUACAUGGUGACAUGCAUAUUCUAGACAUUGCUGUGGAUUUGCCUUCUGUGACUGAAAUUUUCAGGUCAAAAUAUUCAACUACUCUUCUCUGAACUCGAUUAAGAUGUCAGAUCAACAGACCGGCCUCCGAUCACUUUAUCUAUUAUCUGUUGGUUCUUCUUGCUUGGUCUACUUGGGUCAGUUGAUAUUUUCGUUUGUGAUGAAAUCCCAUGUUGGACAUUCAAUCAAAGAUUGUAGCUUUGGGGUUGGUGGUGGAUUGUGUUUGGUGGGUUUGAUUUGAAAUGUGUUUUUACAGAGAAUCCCGUCGUAUUCUCACAUGUGGUCUGGGCAUCGAACUCCCUCAUGGUUAUCUAUUUAACUAUUUUCUAGAGAAUCCUGUCGUAAAUUGUGCUCCUUUUGUAUAUCAAUCCUUUAUUAACUACUAAUACUUUGAUUUCUCUCAAUUGCAACAAGUCAUGAGUUACUUUUUCAUAGAAAAAUUUUAAAUGAUGGAAGGGUAGGGAGUUUUCCUCUUUGAUGGUUUCGUUAGAGAGACUAUAAUUGUAAAUUUAAAAUGUAAUGUGGAAUUUAUAUGUCAAGUUAAUUUAUAUGUAGUUGAUUUUUGAUUUUUAUGAAAGUUAAGAUGAUUACAUGUUUAAAUACAGUGAUGGCAUCAAAAGGUAUUUCGAGAGGAACAAAGAGAAUAUUAAGAGAGUAUGAUGUUGAAAGUCGUGAUAAUCAAGAAAGAUUCAACAAAUUUGUACUGCUCAAAACUCUGCUGUAAGAAGAACUGAAUCUGAUCAUUUGUGUUUUGGUGGGAAUGAGGAUCGUCCAGUUAACUCAAAGAGUGUUCCAUGAACAAACUGCUGGUGUUGGAGUUAGUGCAGCAUCAAAUAUUCAUAAUGUGGUUGCAGAAGUUGUUGCCCAAGGGCGGGUGAUUGAAGCAGAGGAUAUAUACGGUUUGUAUUUGUUUUUGUGCCCGUGAGGCAUAAGCUCCUCCACUGGUUGCUGCUUUGGAUUGUGAGAGAAUAAUUACCGUGCUUCGGGUGGUUUUGGGUUUAGAGUUAUCUCUCAAGGAAUGAGCUUUUCCUCUGUAAAGAUGGUGAGAGUUCUGAAGUAACCCUGGAACAAAAAAAGAGGGAUGAGGUAUUUCUCAAGGAUAGAAUACCUCGAGGUGUGCAUUGAAGUGGCUGAUUAUAUACAGAGUUUGGUGUAAGACUUUUGGCUUCCAUGAUUUUGAGUAAGGCUAAUUUUUGCUUUGAAGCAAAGUUUGGUGUAGAACAUACUUUUGUAGUUGGUUGCUAAUAUGUUUCUAAGCUAGCCUUUGUAGGUUUUGGGUUUUAUUUUGUGAAUUAUGUUGAAUCAUGAAUUUGGAAAGAAAAUUAAUGGAAAGCUCCAAUUUUUGGGUGAUGAGAAA